GAUGAACGCUGGCGGCGUGCCUAACACAUGCAAGUCGAGCGGCAGCGCGAGUAGUUUACUACUUGGCGGCGAGCGGCGGACGGCUGAGUAACGCGUGGGAAUUUGCCCCAAAGUGAGGAAUAACUGCCCGAAAGGGUGGCUAAUGCCGCAUAUGAUCUCCGGAUUAAAGGAUUUAUCCGCUUUGGGAGAAGCCCGCGUCGGAUUAGGUAGUUGGUGAGGUAAUGGCUCACCAAGCCGACGAUCCGUAGCUGGUCUGAGAGGAUGACCAGCCAGACUGGAACUGAGACACGGUCCAGACUCCUACGGGAGGCAGCAGUGAGGAAUCUUCCACAAUGGGCGAAAGCCUGAUGGAGCAACGCCGCGUGCAGGAUGAAGGCCUUCGGGUUGUAAACUGCUUUUAUAAGUGAGGAAUAUGACGGUAGCUUAUGAAUAAGGAUCGGCU
rnacentral:rRNA from 1 species